CCUACGGGAGGCAGCAGUGGGGAAUAUUGCGCAAUGGGGGCAACCCUGACGCAGCAACGCAGCGUGAUUGAAGAAGGCCUUCGGGUUGUAAAGAUCUUUAAUCGGUGACGAAUUUUGACGGUACCCGACGAAUAAGCUCCGGCUCACUACGUGACAGCAGCCGCGGUAAUACGUAGGGAGCAAGCGUUAUCCGGUUUUACUGGGUGUAAAGGGCGUGUAGGCGGGCAUGCAAGUCAGAAGUGAAAUCUUGGGGCUUAACCCCCAAACUGCUUUUGUUACUGCGUGUCUUGAGUGAUGGAGAGGUAGGCGGAAUUCCCAGUGUAGCGGUGAAAUGCGUAGAUAUUGGGAGGAACACCAGUGGCGAAGGCGGCCUGCUGGACAUUAACUGACGCUGAGGCGCGAAAGCGUGGGGAGCAAACAGGAUUAGAUACCCUGGUAGUC
rnacentral:rRNA from 1 species